UGAGGAAUUUUGGUCAAUGGGGGAAACCCUGAACCAGCGACGCCGCGUGCGGGAUGAAGGAGCUUUGCUCUGUAAACCGCUGUCGGGAGGGAAGAAAAGCCGGGUCGCCCGGCUGGGACAGUACCUCCAAAGGAAGGAUCGGCUAACUACGUGCCAGCAGCCGCGGUAAUACGUAGGAUCCAAGCGUUGUCCGGAUUUACUGGGUGUAAAGGGUGCGCAGGCGGAUUUGUGCGUCAGAGGUUAAAGACUUCGGCUUAACCGAAGAAAUGCCUUUGAUACGGCAAGUCUUGAGUACGAGAGAGGAUGAUAGAAUUCUUGGUGUAGCGGUGAAAUGCGUAGAUAUCAAGAGGAAUACCAGUGGCGAAGGCGGUCAUCUGGCUCGUAACUGACGCUCAGGCACGAAAGCGUGGGGAGCAAACAGG
rnacentral:rRNA from 1 species